rnacentral:sRNA from 1 species
GAAGACGAGCUUAAAAAUUCGUUAAAGGGCACAUCGAUGAAACCUCUGGUGGCUGCUUCUUACGCCCAGUUUGGGGUGGGUACUGGAGAUGAGGAUCUUGGGCGACUCGUAAUGGCAUACGAAUCACGACCCAUUUUCCGUGGAGACUGGUUCUUGUAGUUAUUCUAUACGGACAACCUGAUGAAUGAUUACGAAACUGGAUUGGAACCUGUAGUGUGGCGAAAGCUAUGUGCAGUGUAGCCUGUCUUGAGUGAAAAUUUUGGGAUAAAUGAACUAACCAAUGAUAAGCGGCCACUUAUCAUAGGGUAUUGCAUUUUGAAAUAAUUUUUGCAAAAAAGAAUUAAUAACAAGGUAUUGAGGGGGAAAUCUCCUAGAGUGUAUGUGAUAUAGGAUUGCAGUGGGCACUAAGUGGCAAUCAAGUCGUAUGAUACGGUGACGUCAUAUUGAUUCUUGUAAAGGGGAACCGCAGAUUUGGUAACGAGUCUGUAAGAAUUAGGGAAAUCCUACUUGACCUAAGGCUCAAAGUUAACUAUGUUACUUGCCAAACAAUUUUUUAU